GCCAGUGUAAUGUAGUGGUUUGAGUGUUGGACUACGACUGGAGACCAGGGUUCAAUUCCCUGCUUGGCCA